rnacentral:tRNA from 1 species
UGAUAAUUAGUUUAGAUAAAAUUAAUGAUUUCGACUCAUUAGACUGUGGUCUAACCCACAAUUAUCAA